rnacentral:rRNA from 1 species
GGGAUUGCCUUAGUAACGGCGAGUGAAGCGGCAAUAGCUCAAAUUUGAAAUCUGGCGUUUGCGUCCGAGUUGUAAUUUGUAGAGGAUGAUUUUGGUUAGGUACCUUUCGAGUUCCUUGGAACAGGACGCCUUAGAGGGUGAGAGCCCCGUACGAUUGGAUGCCGAGCCUCUGUAAAUCUCCUUCGACGAGUCGAGUAGUUUGGGAAUGCUGCUCUAAAUGGGAGGUAAAUUUCUUCUAAAGCUAAAUACCGGCCAGAGACCGAUAGCGCACAAGUAGAGUGAUCGAAAGAUGAAAAGCACUUUGAAAAGAGGGUUAAAUAGCACGUGAAAUUGUUGAAAGGGAAGGAUUUAUGACCAGACUUUUUCUGUGAGGAUCAUCCGGUGUUCUCACCGGUGCACUUCUCUCAGUUUAGGCCAGCAUCGACUUUCGGCGGCGGAUAAAAGCUUUAGGAAUGUGGCUCCCUUCGGGGAGUGUUAUAGCCUGCUGCAUAAUACGCUGCUGGGGGUCGAGGUACGCGCUUCUGCAAGGAUGCUGGCGUAAUGGUUAUCAAUCACCCGUCUUGAAACACGGACCAAGGAGUCGAACAUUUGUGCGAGUGUUUGGGUGUUAAACCCUCACGCGUAAUGAAAGUGAACGGAGGUGAGAGCCCUUACGGGUGCAUCAUCGACCGAUCCUGAAGUUUUCGGAUGGAUUUGAGUAAGAGCAUAACUGUUCGGACCCGAAAGAUGGUGAACUAUGCGUGGAUAGGGUGAAGCCAGAGGAAACUCUGGUGGAGGCUCGCAGCGGUUCUGACGUGCAAAUCGAUCGUCAAAUCUGCGCAUGGGGGGCGAAAGACU